AUGCUUAUUGGGUCACGCCAUGUUUGUCAUAUAAUGUGACCUGAUGCUUAUUGGGUCACGCCAUGUUUGUCAUAUAAUGUCACCUGAUGCUUAUUGGGUCACGCCAUGUUUGUCAUAUAAUGUUUUCUGGAUCAAGUGAUUCUAAUUAUGCUAAGCGAAAUUUGCCAUGGUCAAAAGGUCACGUUAUGCUCAUAAAGGUCACGUUAUGCUAAAAAUUCCACGUUAUGCUCAAAAGGUAACGUUAUCAUCAUAAAGGUCACGUUAUGCUCAUAAAGGUCACGUUAUGCUCAUUAAAGUUACGCCAUGCUAACAAAGGUCAAGUUAUGAUCAAAAGCUCACGUUAUGCUCAUAAGGUCAUGUUAUGCUCAUAAGGUCACGUUAUGCUCAAAAGGGCACGUUAUGCUCAUAAGGUCACGUUAUGCUCAAAAGGGCACGUUAUGCUCAAAAGGGCACGUUAUGCUCAUAAGGUUACGUUAUGCUCAUAAGGUCACGUUAUGCUCAUAAGGUCACGUUAUGCUCAUAAGGUUACGUUAUGCUCAUAAGGUUACGUGAUUCACGUGAAGUCACGUUAUGCUCAUAAGGCAUGCAAUACUCAUUGUGCAUGUGACCUUUGUCAUAUGUCACGUUAUGUUCAUAAGGUGGCCCAAUGCUCAUUGUGUCACGCAACGCAUGAAUGUCAUGCCACCGCGAGUAUCCCUUGUGUGAUUGGCUACCUUGUCCUGUUUUCUCCGUCUGAUUAUCUUGUCGAGUCCAUUGAAUGCGCCAGACGCUACAAACAGGAUGUUUGAGGUAUCCACCGCCACUGUGUCGCCUCUCAUCUUACGCGAGUUGCGCUCAGGGACGUUCACAACAGUACCCUCUAGGAUCUUCAGUAAGCCCUAAACACAGAACACAUAACAAAGGAUCUUCAGUAAGCCCUAAACUCAGAACACAUAACAGAGGAUCUUCAUUAAGCCCUAAAUACAAAACACAUAACAGAGGAUCUUCAAUAAGCCCUAAAUACACAACACAUAACAGAGGAUCUUCAAUAAGCCC